rnacentral:lncRNA from 1 species
GGUCUGGAGGAGUGAGCGCAGAGCCCUGCAGCAGAGGUUUCUGCUGUGAGAAUUCCCAGUAACCGUUCACCAUGGGGGAUAUCCUGGCUCAUGAGUCUGAAUUACUUGGAUUAGUGAAAGAGUAUUUAGAUUUUGCUGAAUUUGAAGACACCUUGAAGACAUUUUCAAAAGAAUGCAAAGUAAAAGGAAAGCCACUGUGUAAAAAUGUCGGUGGGCCAUUAAAGAAGGACUCCAAGUCGCUCGUAAUCCAGAGGGAUUUGGUGGCAGCGUUUGACAGUGGAGACCAGAAGGCGUUCUUUGACUUGUGGGAGGGGCACAUUCCCAGCUCCGUCAGAGACACUGACUCCCUGGCCCAGAAGCUGGAGUUCUACCUUCACAUCCACUUUGCCAUCUACCUUCUCAAGUACUGCAGAGGCAGGCCGGACAAACAAGAGCUAGAUAAAAGGAUUUCUUAUUUCAAAACCUACCUGGAGACAAAAGGGGCAGCGCUGAGCCAGACUACGGAGUUUCUGCCCUUCUAUGCCCUCCCCUUCGUGCCCAAUCCGAUGGUCCACCCCUCAUUUAAAGAACUCUUCCAGGAUUCUUGGACUCCAGAAUUAAAGCUGAAGCUGGAAAAGUUUUUAGCUUUAACUUUUAAAGCCAAUAACACACCAAAGCUUUUAACCAUAUAUAAGGAGAAUGGACCUAAUAGCAAAGACUGCUGCAGCAGCUUCACCAGCAGCUGGUGGAGGCUGAGCGCCGGGCCAUGACCUACCUGAAGCGGUACAAUAAGAUCCAAGCCGACUACCACAACCUCAUCGGUGUCACAGCUGAGCUGGUGGACUCUCUGGAGGCCACAGUCAGCGGCAAGAUGAUCACCCCCGAGUACCUGCAGAGUGUCUGUGUCCGCCUCUUCAGUAACCAGAUGCGGCAGAGCCUGGCACACAGCGUGGACUUCACGAGGCCUGGGACGGUGAGGUGCCAUGAGAGACGGGGUAUCCUGGGUUUGUCCCCCAAGACUUACAAGUGAAGUUAUUAGAGAGAAUGAAAGCCUGUGAGAAAGUGACAUUCAGGAGCUAGAAGCUCCCAGAAGGAAAACAAAGCUAUUUUUGAGGAGGUUGCAGCUGAGGUUAGCCCUUUGGGUGAGAAAGGAGAGGUGCUCUUUCAAUCUACCAUGGCAGCUGCUCCUGCGCACUGAGGCCUGAGAGUCAGGAGGAACAAAUCGAAACCUUGCUGUCUUUAAAAGAACUCUCGUGGGCUAGGGCGAGCGCUCAGUACAGCGCUUGGUGUGCAGGCACCAGGACCUGAGUUUGCUCCCUAAGGCCUGGAAUGUGUGACACCCCAGUGCUGGGAAGACACAAAGGCAGGUCCCAGAGGCUUGCCACCCAGACAGGCUAGCUUACUGUGAGCUGCAGGACAGGGAGAGAGAGGCCUUCUCUCCACAAAAAGUAGACAGUGCCUGAGGGUUAACAACCAGCUUUGUUCUCCAGCCUCUGCAUGUACAUGCCACAUACAUGACUGUACUUACACAUGCUUACACACAUACAAGAGAGUUGGGGGUGAGAGAUUGGGCUUAAGAUAAGACUUUACUUUUUAACUUUUUAUGCAAAUUAAAGAUUUAAAGAAAAAAAUCACAAGCAUAGCAAGGAACAUUGGCGUCUUCUUAACCAGCAUGUAUUUAUUGUGUGAUUCUAUGUGUGUGUGUCUCCCCACCCCCAUGUGUCUCCAUACACAAACACAAUAGGGUUUAUAAAACAUUUGU